CUUCCCCUCUCUCUCUCUCUCCCGUCCAUCCACCCUCUUCCACCUUUACUUUUUCUCUCUCUCUCUCUUUGACAGGCCUAUCCUUUAGUCAACCUCCGUGGGGAGUUUCUCCUCUGUUUGUUCUCUUGGAUGAUAAUUGCAAGUAAAACCAUAUCAAGAGGAGUUUUGGCAACAAGAAAGAACAGACACUGAAUCCUUCUAGAGAGGAGCUACAGCCGAGGCGAGGCAUAGGGAGAAGACAGACGGACACAUUUAUGAGCGUGUGUGACCUACUAUAUCUAUGGACUAGUUGGCCCACAGUGCAGCUGGAGCCUUCAAACUGUUAACUGACACACCACCACUCCUUGGGACGUCUAUGGAUGGACUGAAUCCACGUUUACAAGGACGGAUCUUCUCUAGCUCCUCCCCUGACCUCUAACCUCUGACACUCUGCAUGCACAGAGGUACACGGCUGUGAUUGGACAGCAGUUCCUGUGAGCUCCAUGUGACCUUGAACUUUGACCUUGGCUGACCCCUUCUUGUCUUGUCAGAUUGGCUGUGGCCAACCCUGCCCCCUUUUUUUCCUCCAGGUCCCCUCCCCCUCUGCCUGACGGACAGCUACCCUACCGAUUCCGUUGCUACGACGACACUGAGCUUUAUCAAGAGCCCGUCACAGCCUUUACAGGAAGUGGACAGACGAGAGUUGAGGUCAGGUGACCAUGCCUCAUUUCCUCUUUCUGUUGUUGACUUCCUGUUGGAAUUGGAAGAUAAAAAGGAAAGGACUACAGACAAACAUCACUGUGUGUUUUAUCUAAUAGUCCCAACAAUAUUCUGACAAAGCCAUACUAUAUUUGUUAUGGAAAAUAAUAUACAAUCAAACAAAAUGGAAGUAGAGUGUGGGGGGGGGCUCUCUUUUUAACAUCCAGUAAUAAGUUGAUAUAUCUGCAUCUCUUUAUUAAAUAUCUCCGACAUACAGGACCCUCAUAUCAAUAGAAUUACCCUCUCUCUCUCUCGCUCUCUCGCUCUCUCGCUCUCUCUGUCUCUCUCUCUCUCUCUCUCUCUCUCUCUCUCUCUCUCUCUCUCUCUCUCUCUCUCUCUCUCUCUCUCUCUCUCUCUCUCUCUCUCUCUCUCUCUGUGUCUCUCUCUCUCUCUCUCUCUCUCUGUCUCUCAUUCAUAUAUA
rnacentral:lncRNA from 1 species